UGCAGGAGGGAGAGCAAGUGGGCGGGGGCCUUUUAAUCUGGGAUUUGGACGAGCGUGAGCAGGCCUGAUACCAGCACCCGUCAAUGCUAUCAGUCGUCCCCCUACAUUCCCUCCUUCCCCACCUCAGACGAAUGUGACAAGCGCUGGCAGACUGGUCCAAAAACCCUCUGCUCUCCUCCCUCAGCCUCACCUUCUCUCCCCUUUGUACCCUAAGAGAUCAUGACUCCAGGAGCAGAAGUGACUAAGGGCUUUCCAAGAAUAGGAUUCCCUUUGACAACCACCAGGCGCCCCAUUUCACUGCAUCUGGCCUUGGGCAGCGAGAGAGAAAGACAGAGACAAGACAAAGAGAAGGGGGUUUCAAAUAGCCUGGAUUUAUCUGACAAGACGUCGACAGGAAAGAAGACAACACACUGGAUGAACUGGGGGAGAGACAGGCAGCUGGGAGCUGCAGGUUAGGCCUUGGGCUGGUUGAGGGGAAACAGGCCCAGUGUGCAUCCAGCCACCACUCUAUCCUCUUACAUAAUGUCUCAAGUUCAAUAUAGCCCUGGUUGGCUAUUUAAAGGAUGUCCGUCUAGGCCAGCUGACAAAAAGGUGAUAUACUUAGUAGCCACCGCGCAGCAUGAAAGCCUCGGCUAGGGCUAUAUUGGUCACAGACAAGCCCGGGGUGUGGAUUUUGGUAAUGUUGCAGAUAUUUUUAGCCCGGCUGAUGAUCCAGGGUAUUUACAUGAGGUGCAAAACUUGCACACCCCCCAUAGCUGGAUGCCUAACUUCUCUGUGUAGCACCAGGCAGUCAGCUUAGUAAUAUUGGCUAAAUGACUAACUUAGGCAAUCACUUUGCACGUGCAUGAUGUUUGUUUUCAACACUUGCACAUACUAAAUCCAGCCAAAGCUGACUAAAUUAUUGACAAAAAUGCUAGUGGUGAUACGACAAAUGGUCAAAAGCUUUCAGGGUAGUCAGGAAGUUCUUUAAUCAUGCAAAAACAACUAAUAGCACAGGGUAUCCAUAGUUUGUGGCUUUUUGUAUUUACAUGGAGUAAACAGUACUUGUCAAACACAGAGUAAAAAUGGCUCUGGGCAUUAAUGGUUAAUAAAUAACUACAAUGUUUUUUCAUCCAGCCUUUUUCCAAUAGCCAACAUGGAAACCAAAUUCUUUGGAAGGCAGAAACCAGUUGAUACAUACCGGACAUCUUGCCUGAAACAAACUGAGCAUACAGAGUAAUUUCUCCAAAAGUUCUUCGCAAUUUUGCAUUACUUCAAUGCAUGUAUCAUGUAAAUAAUGGAAUAAUCCCUUUUCAAUUUGGAUUAAAUAAUGUACUGGCAGUAGUCUGGUGUUUAAGAUAAACUAAUGAUCAUCAUAUUUGCAUAUUUUGAACAAUGUCUAAUGUGUUAUAUGAUCCUUUUCCACUCAAAAAGCAUUCAAAACAAGCGUCUUUAAUAAAACAGUUUCUAAGUGACAGCAAAUCCCAGAUUCAGUUAGGGAUUUAGUCCAGUACCCAUUCAUCAUCACAGGAAAAUGUUACAGAGCCCAAUCUUAUUAUUGAAAGCAAAUGUAUGAUACUUUGCUAAGAUUUUACGCAUCUCAUUUUACUAUGCAAAACUAAAGACAUAGUUUGAAUGUAGUUCAUGUUUAAGACCGUAGGUCUUACUGGAAAAAUAACAAAUGCAAAGAAUGAAUUUGCAUUUCCGCAUUUGAAAUCAUCAGAAAAUAAAUAUAUUGUGUUUUGGCUGCCAGUUAAGGCUAUACACUAUUUGAAGAUGACUCUUGUAUCUUGUAAUCCACAUUUGCUAUUAGUUUCUGUAUCUAACAGACUGCAGGAUAACUUUAUUUAUUUAUAACUUUUUUAUUUUUAUAAUUGCAAUACUCAUAAGAACGUUUUAGACAAAGUACCUCUUUCUGUAACGAACUUGCUUGUUUAUAUAGGCGUCAACCUGUCGGUAAAGAGAAGUUAAAUGGUAAAAUUUUAGUUAGUUGGUACAUUGUACCUCUUUUCCAGCCUACUCUUUUCACCGGCCAAAGAUAGCAAUAGAUAAUUGCACUUCUCAGUGAAGUGAGAUGAGCGUGACUUCGAUAGUCAAAGUCAUUUAACAGAGAAGACCCAGAAACAAUGGCAGGUGUGGCACUAUUAACCUGAUCAAAGCUGAGAUUGGAUUUACACAGCUCAAUAAAAAUGUAGUGUUAUUAUGUUAAACAUCUAAACAAACUAUUGACAUACACCUGGUAUAGCAUCUCCUUUCUACCAUUAAAAGCACUUUGUCUUGUAAA